rnacentral:rRNA from 1 species
CAAUAGCGUAUAUUAAAGUUGUUGCAGUUAAAAAGCUCGUAGUUGGAUUUCUGGUAGGAGUGACCGUUCCGAACUUGAUUGUUCGUGUAUUGUGUUUUCUCCAGCCAUCCUUGUGGAGAACUUUUCUUGCAUUAAUUUGUAGGGAUUGGGACCCGCAUCGUUUACUGUGAAAAAAUUAGAGUGUUUAAAGCAGGCAAUCGCUUGAAUACAUUAGCAUGGAAUAAUAAGAUAGGACUUUGGUACUAUUUUGUUGGUUUGCAUACCAAAUUAAUGAUCAACAGGAACGGUUUGAGGAUAUUCGUAUGAACAUGUCAGAGGUGAAAUUCUUGGAUUUUGAUCAGACGAACUACUGCGAAAGCAUUUAUCAAGGAUGUUUUCAUUAA